AGCAGCCGCGGUAAUUCCAGCUCCAAUAGCGUAUAUUAAAGUUGUUGCAGUUAAAAAGCUCGUAGUUGAAUUUCGGGAUCAAGGAAUCGGUCAUGCCUUGGUAUGUACUGGUUUUAUUGGUUCUCACCUUCUAAAGAACCAUAAUGUCAUUCAUUUGAUGUUAUGGGGAAUUAGGACUGUUACCUUGAAAAAUUAGAGUGUUUAAAGCAGGCUUACGCUUGAAUACAUUAGCAUGGAAUAAUGAAAUAGGACAUCCGAUUCUAUUUUGUUGGUUUCUAGGAUCGAUGUAAUGAUUAAUAGGGAUAGUUGGGGGCAUUAGUAUUCAAUUGUCAGAGGUGAAAUUCUUGGAUUUAUUGAAGACUAACUACUGCGAAAGCAUUUGCCAAGGAUGUUUUCAUUAAUCAAGAACGAAAGUUAGGGGAUCGAAGACGAUCAGAUACCGUCGUAGUC
rnacentral:rRNA from 1 species